rnacentral:rRNA from 1 species
GGUGGCGAGUGGCGAACGGGUGAGUAAUACAUCGGAACGUGCCCUGUCGUGGGGGAUAACUAGUCGAAAGAUUAGCUAAUACCGCAUACGACCUGAGGGUGAAAGCGGGGGACCGCAAGGCCUCGCGCGAUAGGAGCGGCCGAUGUCUGAUUAGCUAGUUGGUGGGGUAAAGGCCCACCAAGGCGACGAUCAGUAGCUGGUCUGAGAGGACGAUCAGCCACACUGGGACUGAGACACGGCCCAGACUCCUACGGGAGGCAGCAGUGGGGAAUUUUGGACAAUGGGGGCAACCCUGAUCCAGCAAUGCCGCGUGUGUGAAGAAGGCCUUCGGGUUGUAAAGCACUUUUGUCCGGAAAGAAAUCCCUUGCUCUAAUAAAGCGGGGGGAUGACGGUACCGGAAGAAUAAGCACCGGCUAACUACGUGCCAGCAGCCGCGGUAAUACGUAGGGUGCGAGCGUUAAUCGGAAUUACUGGGCGUAAAGCGUGCGCAGGCGGUUUUGUAAGACAGGCGUGAAAUCCCCGAGCUCAACUUGGGAAUGGCGCUUGUGACUGCAAGGCUAGAGUAUGUCAGAGGGGGGUAGAAUUCCACGUGUAGCAGUGAAAUGCGUAGAGAUGUGGAGGAAUACCGAUGGCGAAGGCAGCCCCCUGGGACGUCACUGACGCUCAUGCACGAAAGCGUGGGGAGCAAACAGGAUUAGAU